AAGCAUAGCUCAGUUGGGAGAGCAUCUGCCUUACAAGCAGAGGGUCAUAGGUUCGAGCCCUAUUGUUUCC
rnacentral:tRNA from 1 species